AUUGAACGCUGGCGGCAGGCCUAACACAUGCAAGUCGAGCGGCAGCGGAAAGUAGCUUGCUACUUUGCCGGCGAGCGGCGGACGGGUGAGUAAUGUCUGGGAAACUGCCUGAUGGAGGGGGAUAACUACUGGAAACGGUAGCUAAUACCGCAUAACGUCGCAAGACCAAAGAGGGGGACCUUCGGGCCUCUUGCCAUCAGAUGUGCCCAGAUGGGAUUAGCUAGUAGGUGGGGUAACGGCUCACCUAGGCGACGAUCCCUAGCUGGUCUGAGAGGAUGACCAGCCACACUGGAACUGAGACACGGUCCAGACUCCUACGGGAGGCAGCAGUGGGGAAUAUUGCACAAUGGGCGCAAGCCUGAUGCAGCCAUGCCGCGUGUAUGAAGAAGGCCUUCGGGUUGUAAAGUACUUUCAGCGGGGAGGAAGGUGUUGUGGUUAAUAACCACAGCAAUUGACGUUACCCGCAGAAGAAGCACCGGCUAACUCCGUGCCAGCCGCCGCCGUAA
rnacentral:rRNA from 1 species